rnacentral:rRNA from 1 species
CCUACGGGAGGCAGCAGUGAGGAAUAUUGGUCAAUGGGCGGAAGCCUGAACCAGCCAAGUCGCGUGAGGGAAUAAGGCCCUACGGGUCGUAAACCUCUUUUGCCGGGGAGCAAGGGCCGGGACGCGUCCCGGUCCGGAGAGUACCCGGAGAAAAAGCAUCGGCUAACUCCGUGCCAGCAGCCGCGGUAAUACGGGGGAUCCGAGCGUUAUCCGGAUUUAUUGGGUUUAAAGGGUGCGUAGGCGGCAUUUUAAGUCAGCGGUGAAAGUCUGUGGCUCAACCAUAGAAUUGCCGUUGAAACUGGUAGGCUUGAGUAUGUUUGAGGCAGGCGGAAUGCGUGGUGUAGCGGUGAAAUGCUUAGAUAUCACGCAGAACCCCGAUUGCGAAGGCAGCCUACCAAGCCAUGACUGACGCUGAUGCACGAAAGCGUGGGAAUCAAACAGGAUUAGAUACCCGUGUUGUC